rnacentral:lncRNA from 13 species
GGGGGGCAUUUUGGAAUUCAUGGGCUUUCCUUACCAUGUAAAUCUUCUUUAUAUUUUUCAGUUACCUCCCCUGUGUUCCAGGCUGAAUUGUAUCACCCCGAAAUUCAUGUGCUGAAGGACAUCGAAGGUGGACAUACUGGAGAUAACAGCCUUUGAGGGGUAAUUAAGAUAAGAUGGCCUCUUUAGGGUGGGGCCCUAGUCCAGUCUGACAGGUGUCCUUAUGAGAAGAGGAGCUGAGGACCCCGCCACACAGAGGACACAGAAGGAAGACAGCCAUCCCCACGCAAGGACAGAGGCCUCGGGAGAAACACCAGCACCUGGGCCUUCCAGGCUUCAGAACAGUGAGGAGAGAAACCCGUGUGGUCCAAGCUGUGUGGUCCAAGAGCUGCAAGGCGAACAAGGAAGAAUGAAAGACGGAGCUAAAAAGAUCGACAUGCGGAGAGCAGUAGCUGGUUGGAGCAGCUGGAACAGACUGAAGCAUUCCAGGCAGAACUGCAAGUGAACGACGGGGAAAUACAUCACCGUGGGAGAGAGCGGGACUAGUUCAUCUCCAUCUUCAACCCAGCAACACUCUUCUUUCAUGGGAGGGAAAGGAUAGCCACGUGAAAAUCGACAGAUGGGCUUGGAUUCUAGCAGCAGGAAGAUACCAAUGGACCAGUCCCAGAUUCCAGACUGGACUCACCUCCAGAGGUUCCCAGGACCCUGAAGAAUUUUAGGUGAACGUUGGCAGUGCGGUCACACAGUCGCCAUGGGGCCUGAACUCUAGGGCCGUGGAACGUCUCAGGGGGUGCCUCCCCUAGGGAUCCCCAGGGCGAGGUCAACUGCCCAGCUGAAGCUUUGAGAUGGCUUUUGUCUGGUGAUGGAUGGAGAAAAAGAUCUUGCUGGGCCCUCCAGAAUGUUGCACCGGAGCGAGUGGAAAUUCAACACCAAGACAAAGGUUGUGUUUACUUCAGGAAGAAGAGUCCCCAUGCUCCUGCAGCUCUGCCAUGGUACCACGAGGCCCAGGGUAUGAAAUAAAAAGGGCGUUUCACUCGGGCA